rnacentral:tRNA from 3 species
GGGCCUAUAGCUCAGUUGGUUAGAGCACUUCGUUUACACCGAAGGGGUCGGGGGUUCGAGUCCCUCUGGGCCCA